UACGUAGGGUGCAAGCGUUGUCCGGAAUUAUUGGGCGUAAAGAGCUCGUAGGCGGUCUGUCGCGUCUGCUGUGAAAACUCAGGGCUUAACCCUGAGCUUGCAGUGGGUACGGGCAGACUAGAGUGCGGUAGGGGGAGACUGGAAUUCCUGGUGUAGCGGUGAAAUGCGCAGAUAUCAGGAGGAACACCGGUGGGCGAAGGCGGGUCUCUGGGCCGUAACUGACG
rnacentral:rRNA from 1 species